GCACCGUCGAGGAGUCCCACAAUAGGACGAAACGGCCGUCCAGUGC
rnacentral:hammerhead_ribozyme from 1 species